ACGAACGCUGGCGGCGUGCCUAACACAUGCAAGUCGGACGGGCCGGCGCGGAGCACCGGGAUUUCAAACCUCAAAUUUCAAAUUUGAAAUUCCGAUGCUUCGCAUCGGUUAGUGGCGGACGGGUGAGUAACACGUAGGCAACCUACCCCUGAGCGGGGGACAACCCAGGGAAACUUGGGCUAAUACCGCAUAAGACCACGAACUGGGAUGUUAGUGGUAAAAGCAGCAAUGCACUUGGGGAUGGGCCUGCGGCCUAUCAGGUAGUUGGCGGGGUAAAGGCCCACCAAGCCGAAGACGGGUAGCCG
rnacentral:rRNA from 1 species